rnacentral:rRNA from 1 species
AAAGCGUGCGCAGGCGGUUUUGUAAGUCAGAUGUGAAAUCCCCGAGCUCAACUUGGGAACUGCGUUUGAAACUACAAGGCUAGAGUAUGGUAGAGGGGGGUAGAAUUCCACGUGUAGCAGUGAAAUGCGUAGAGAUGUGGAGGAAUACCAAUGGCGAAGGCAGCCCCCUGGACUAAUACUGACGCUCAUGCACGAAAGCGUGGGGAGCAAACAGGAUUAGAUACCCGUGU